rnacentral:rRNA from 1 species
UACGAAGGGUGCAAGCGUUAAUCGGAAUUACUGGGCGUAAAGAGCGCGCAGGCGGUCGUUCAAGUCGCGUGUGAAAGCCCCCGGCUCAACUGGGGAGGGUCACGCGAUACUGAUCGACUGGAAGGCAGGAGAGGGUAGUGGAAUUCCCGGUGUAGUGGUGAAAUGCGUAGAUAUCGGGAGGAACACCAGUGGCGAAGGCGGCUUCCUGGCCUGUUCUUGACGCUGAGGCGCGAAAGCUAGGGGAGCAAACGGG